rnacentral:rRNA from 1 species
UACGAAGGGGGCUAGCGUUGCUCGGAAUCACUGGGCGUCAAGCGCACGUAGGCGGAUUGUUAAGUCAGGGGUGAAAUCCUGGAGCUCAACUCCAGAACUGCCUUUGAUACUGGCGAUCUUGAGUCCGGGAGAGGUGAGUGGAACUGCGAGUGUAGAGGUGAAAUUCGUAGAUAUUCGCAAGAACACCAGUGGCGAAGGCGGCUCACUGGCCCGUUACCGACGCUCAGGCGCGACAGCGUGGGGAGCAAACAGG